CGGUUCCGGUGUAACUGGCGACAAGUGUGGAUCAAACCACGAUGGAGCACCUGGAAUAAACGGCCGGUCGCCUGGGCAAAAGAG
rfam:Paenibacillus sp. FSL R5-0912, complete genome.